rnacentral:rRNA from 1 species
AGUUUAUAACCUUGGCCGAGAGGCCUGGGCAAUCUUCUGAACAUGCAUCGUGAUAGGGAUCGAUCCUUGCAAUUAUGGAUCGUGAACGAGGAAUUCCUAGUAAAUAUGGGUCAUCAACCCGUGUUGAUUACGUCCCUGCCCUU